UGGUCAUCCAAUGUAAUGCAACAAUAGAGUGCCGCUAGCCUGCUUGAGAACUGCUGUAUUUGCUGGUAUUCAUUUUCCCAGUUGGGUCAAAUGUUCCCGCCAGAUUCUGUGGCGCGCAGAAUGAGUGAAGUGUUUUCUGUGAGUGAGGAGGCAGUUUGAGAACAUGCUAGUUGAGCCCUUAGCCAACACUUGGCUAAUGGCUAUCGAAGAUAGCUAGCUUACAGACAUGGCAGACAUGAGGGGCAAAAUACCCGACCCAGCAGCAACUACUCCUCCAUCUAAGACAAAGAUACAGAUACAUUUGGGGAGCGAUAGAGCCUGGGCCAAGACGGAGUAAACCUCGGAUUUGCGUUCACAAAGUGGAGAGAAGUAAUGAAGUUGAAUGGGUUAAAAAUCGACCCAGAAUUUGCAUUUUGUUCCGCUUAAAAGCUAAAUUAGACUACAAUAACAAGUCUUGAAGGUGAAGUAUCUAUGCAUUGAAAACUGCAAAGGACUACAUCGACAUCCCAGAACAGAUAGCAGUGUUGAGAAGAAUGGGCUCUCAAUUGGGGCUACCAGGGAGAAUGAUCCUGAGAUCAGAUGACCCAAGACUCCCUGAAGUGCCACCACCAAUGGUUGAGCUUCUACAACUUCGAGGAGACGUAGCCAUUCAAUACAGGGUGCCGUACGCACACCUUUGAGCUGAGAAGGACCGGAGCUUUCCCUGUUGUCAGACUUGGUGGUUCACAUGAAGUGUGAAAACCUACUUAGAAUUGUUGUUGAAAGAGUCUCUGUUUUUCUAGUCCUCCCGGUUCUGACCUUUGCCUGCCCUGACACUGAGCCCGCCUGCCUGACCAUUCAGCCUGCCCUGACCUCGAGCCUGCCUGCCACUCUGUACCUCCUGGACUCUGACCUGGUCUAUGAUCUUUUGCCUGUCCACGACCUGUCUCUUUGCCUGCCCCUUGUUUUAUAAUAAAUAUCACAGACUCUAACCAUCUGCCUCCUGUGUCUGCAUCUGGGUGUCGCCCUGUAUCGUUAUAACUUUUUGUUGUGUUACAGCCUGAAUUCAACAUUGAUUAAAUACAAAAAAAUCACACCAAUCUACACACAAUACCCCAUAAUGACAAAGUGAAAAC
rnacentral:lncRNA from 1 species